rnacentral:lncRNA from 1 species
AUGGGACCGACCAGCAGGUGGACACACAAGCCCACUUGCCCAGGACCGGAGGGCGGUGGGGCCAUCCCAAGGAGCUUCCUGUUGGCCCAGGAGCUGGGUCUGCGUCUCAGGCUUGAGCCUCAGGGCUGUGGGUCCUCCUGGAUGGGGGCCACAGCGCUGGGGACCCCCCACUCACCCUGGGGCUGUUCACUGCUCCCAGCUGCGGCAGGGGUGCCCAGCAAUGCCGCAUGGAUGGAGGAGGCUGAGGAUGGACGUCCACGGUGCCCAGCUCAGGCCCUGGAAAAGUGCCGAGUCCACGACCUGGAGCCGGCUUUCCCUCCCCUGCGUAGUCCUGGGCCUGACACCCCUCCUCCCGUCCUGAGGUGCCCGUGUGAAGGACGGAGACACGGGGGUCCUGUGUGCCUGCGUUCUGGGCACGGUCACCUGUACACCCAGACAAGCACACCUGGGCCCUGGGACUCACCCAGGCCAUGCCUUCUUCAUUCCCCAGGGGCAAACAGGGUUUGUGACAGUCCCCAUUGGAGCCUCCUGUUCAGGUGGGUGGAGUUAUUCCCGGAGUGGUCACUUUCCCUGAACAAGGAAACCGUGGGUGGGCCUUGGAGUUGUUUCAGCUGUCAGCAUCUACAUGGGAGCCGUCACAGGCACACGGGAGCCGUCACAGGCACACUGGGGCUGUCAGGGGCACACGGGAGCCGUCACAGGUACACUGGGGCUGUCAGGGGCACACGGGAGCCGUCACAGGUACACUGGGGCUGUCAGGGGUCACAGGAGCCGUCACAGGUACACCGGGGCUGUCACAGGUACACCAGGGCCGUCACGGGCACACAGGAGCCAUCACAGGUACACUGGGGCUGUCACGGGCACACAGGAGCCAUCACAGGUACACUAGGGCCAUCACAGGUACACUGGGGCUGUCACGGGCACACGGGAGCUGUCACAGGCACACUAGGGCCAUCACAGGUACACCAGGGCUGUCACAGGUACACCAGGCUGUCAUGGGCACACGGGAGCUGUCAUAGGUACACGGGAGCCAUUCGACAACCCCAGGAGUGGCUCAAAACACACACUGUGUCUCAAGUUUGUUUUUUUUUUUUUUUUUAA